ACCUAAUUUUUUUCAGCCAAGACUUCACACUUCUCUCCAGGGCCUCGUGAGUAAGAAAGUGUUUGCCGUUUCAGCAGUCAGUGACAUUCACAAGAUGUGGCCAUCGACGUCUUCCAUGAAGAGUGGGGAUUCCUAAACCCAGCUCAGAGAGAAUUGCACACGGCCAUGAUGUCGGAGACCUACCAGAACCUGGUCUGGCUGGGCAUUUCCAUUUCCGAGCCCUACACAGCCUUCCUGUCGGAGCAAGGGACACAGCGCAGAGUGGUGCAGAGGCAAGACCUCCACCGGCAGCGUUUCUGUCAGCGGAGCAUGACAGGAGGCGUCCGCACACGUCCCCGGAAGGACUGGCGCCUUGGUCUGAGGGCGGAGUCGGCCGGAGAGAAUGCCUGCCUCUGUUCGCGUCGGCGCGCUUACAUGCGCGUUUUCACAGCGGGACUGUGUUUCAGGAAGAGCGUCCAAGAGGAAACACACCGAUGUGAAAUAGUGACGAAGGACGCAGGCGGCACCCGGAGAGACUCGGAAAAAGCCUCCCCCUCUGGCCCCAACCCCGACGGGCCUUCCCGUCCACCGGAGAGACGCUGGCGGCGCCACGAGUGUGGGAAGGCCUGCGGCCGCCGGGCCACUCUGCUCAGCAUCCGGUCGGCAGGGGGGAGACCGUGAGUGCGGAAGGCCCUCGGCCAGAGCGCCCACCUCUCGGAGCACCAGCCCCCCUCACCCGGGAGGAGGCCCUCGGGCGCAGCGGGUGCGGGAAGGCCUUCCGCUGCCCGCGGGCCUCACGCGUCACGGGAGCCCUCGCGGGGGCGGGGGCAAGCCCUGCACGGGCCAGGCCCGCAGCUAAGCCUCCCCCGGAGCGCGCAGCGCGUCAGGCACCAGGGGUUCAUUCCGGGGAAAGGCCUGCGGAGGCAGCAGCGGCAGCACGUCCUUCACCGGCUGUCUUCGCCGCUUGAGCAUCAGAGGACUCACCCCGGAGAGAAGCCCUGCCGGCGCCAGGGCUGCGGGAAGGCCUUUCGCCCGGCGGUGCAGCCCCCUCAACGCCGGAGAGUCCACCCCGGCGAGAAGGCCCGGGCGAGUAAGGAACGUGGGAGAGCCUCCACCUGCGGGUCCCCUUCGUGUGUCCAGGAGGCGUCACACGGGAGAACGGCCCUACGAGGGCCAGGUGUGCGGGAAAACCUUCAGCGGCCACUCUUCCCAGGUCACGCACGAUCGGACUCGGCGGAGUGACGCCCUUCGGCUGCCCCACGAGCUGGAAGGCCUUUAACACGUCCUCCUCCUCGUCUACAAGGGUGUUCAUCCCGGGGAAAGCCCUUCGGGGCCCCAGUGUGGGGAGUCCUUCAGGUGCAGGUGCCACCUUACUCGACAUCAGCGUGUCCGUUCUAGAGAUUAACCAGAGCCGGCUGGACUGGAGGACGGUGCUGUUCCAGUCACCGAACGAAGAUCUGGGCAGCACGCAGCCAGCAGUUGGCACUGACUGUUUCAGGAGGCAGUUUAUUUACAAG
rnacentral:lncRNA from 1 species